CCUCGAGAUAGGACUCCCUCUGCCCCAGUUCUGUUCACCGUCCAAAGACCAGGGCCCUCCCUGAAGCCCAGCACUUGAGAAAUGCUCGCUCUCACGUAUUAUGACUCUGGCUUUGGAAAGAAAUUCAGCAAGGGUACUGGUUGAAAGGUCAAAAAGUGGUGAAAUGCCAUCUGCCCAAACGGAAGCAAGGGGUCGCUUGGAUUGGAGGAGAGAGCCGCUAAGUGCUCUGACCCCCUUGCUUCCAGCACGUUCAUACGAAUUGGGAUUUGGUGGCCUCACACGCAUAGGCUCACGAUCCUCACAGGGGACAGGGAAGACGCCACGAUCUGCAUUUUACCGACAGGAGGCGCAGGAACUUGCCGGAGAUCGCAGAGCAGGAAUUAUGCAUUUGUGAUGGAGUUGAGUCCUGGCACAGAGAUCAAGAGGCCGGAAGAGCAGAUUGGAAAAGGGAGUUCAGAAGCUUAGUCCAUGGUCCUGUCCGCUCAAGAUCAGACAUGCUUGGAGCUCUGCUGAAUUUUAAUCUUCACUCUUAUUCAAAACCAUUGACUCCUAACGCCUGGGAAAGCCAGUGGAGAGAGGGCUUCCCUCUGAGUAAAUUCGAGGGAAGCAUGUGGUAGAGAAUACCCAUGGCUGUCUUGUAAAAUGAAGCCCCCAGGCACCAGCUCUAAAUUCCCUACCGAAUGUGACUUACUCAUCUAGUUCCAUCGUCCAAGGCCCCAGUUUUCUCUUUGCUUCAAUAUGUACAUCAAUAUACUAUCUUCAACUUUUGUAGCAUUUUCUAUGCUGUUUAGCCCUGUAUGCAUUAUCUGUUUCCUUUUUUUUUUUUUUUUUUUUUUGAGACAGGGUCUCACUGUAACCCCAGGCUGGAGUGCAGUGGCACGAUGAUGGUUCACUAUAGCCUUGAACUCCUAGGCUCAAGCAAUCCUCCCACCUCACCCCCGGCCAGUAGCUGGGACUACAGGUAUGUGCCACCAUGCCUGGUUUUUUUUUUAUACAGGGUCUCACUGUUACCCAGGCUGGAAGGAAUGCAGUGGCGUGAUCAUGGCUCACUGCAGCCUCGAACUCUUGUGCUCAGGUGAUCCUCCCACUUUUGCCUCCUGAGUAGCUGGGACUACAGGCAGGCACCACCAUGCCCAGCUAAUUUUUUGUGUUUUUUUAAUAGAGACAGGGUCUCACUAUGUUGCCCAGGCUGGUCUCGAACUCCUAGACUCAUGCAAUCCGUCUACUUCAGCCUCCCAAAGGGCUGGGAUUACAGGCAUAAGCCACUGCAUUCAGCCUUUUUUUUUUUUUUUUUUUUUUUUUUGUGGAAACAGGGUCUCACUGUGUUGCUCAGGCUGGUUCAAACUCCUGGUCUCAAGUGAUCCCCCUGCCUCAGCACCCCCAAAAUCUUGGGAUUGCAGGCAUGAGCCACCGCACCUUGCCUGUUUACUUUAGAUUUGGGAUCCCCAAGUUCCCCCUGCCAUAUGCCCCUACCAAAUGAAAUCUCUCUAGUCACUCUUCUCAUUCAACAUUCAUGGUGGCAAGACGAGGAAGAUUAUUGUACACUCCCUGAGACUUAGAAGGAAAUGGGCACCUGUUAUUUCAGCUGACCAGAUUCCUUACCCAGAAAUCCACCUGAAAGAGGUCUGGAGUCAGCAUGAAUUACUAGCUGUGUGAGGUGAGGGAUGCCGCUUCACCACUCUGAGUGUUAGCUUUCCCAUCUGAAACACGUGGAUAAUAUUGGCUACACUGCAGAGGCCCUGAGAGGAUUACAUGUAAUGUAUGUAAAGCAGCUGGUACACAGUAGUACUCAAUAAAUGGUAGCUAUAAUUAUUACUCACCUCCUUCAUCAUAAUCUUCAAGCAUGAAAAGUACUGUGGGUGUCUUGAGGGUCCAGCCGAGCAGGACAAGGCAUUCCUUUCAUGUUUUCUUUCCUAACUGCAUUGCCCUCCUCACUCAUUCUUUUAAAACUAAGUAAAAUAAGACUGACCUAAUUCUUCCCACAUUUAUCCAAAUGAAAAAUCUAGAACUCAGCUUUGCUGCUCUCCAGAUUCUGUUUUCUGCCAUCAAUCCGCAAGGACACACCACCCAACUUUUUUUUAAAUUUACAAUUUUUUUUUGAGACAGAGCCUUGCUCUGUCGCCCAGGCUGGAGUGCAGUGGCAUGGUCUCCACUUACCACAACCUCUCCCUCCCAGUUCAAGCGAUUCUCCUGCCUCAGCCUACUCAGUAGCUGGGAUUACGGGGGUGCAGGCUACCACACCUGCCUAAUUUUUUUGUAUUUUUAAUAGAGAUAGGGUUUCACCUUGUUGGCCAGGCUGGUCUCGAACUCCUGACCUCAAGUGAUCCCCCCCCCCCCCCGCUUCGGCCUCCCAAAGUGCUGGGAUUACAGGUGUGAGCCACCGCGCCCAGCCAAAAAAAAAAAAAAAAAAAUGUUUUUUUGAACCAAGGUGCGGGCCAGAGCUAUUCGGCUAGAACUGAGAAGAUAGCGACACUGUGUGGUCACAUGCAGAACUGCAGACCAGUCUGGAGUGGGUUCCAGGCUGAUCAUUUGCUCCGACCUAAGGCCGUGAUAUCUGUCAGAUGAGACGUUAGGUCCAUUAAAAAGUUUACUUGCAUGUUAGAAAAUAAAAUGAGGAAGGAAACAUAGCACCUAAAAAGCGUGAGUGUAAUUAUUUCCUAUUUCACAGACGUGUCCUGCCUGUCAUAGCAUUCAAGGUCUAUAUGGCUUUUGCUGUCAAAACAAAAAGGACAAAAGAAGGCCAGCCACAGGGCGGCUGCAAAUGAGCAGCAUGAAGACCAAAAGGCCUGCAGCAAGAGGGAGGAAGCAAGGACUGGAGAAUCUACGUGAGGAAUGCCCAAACUCUGCAACAAGCUAGAAAAUUA
rnacentral:lncRNA from 1 species